rnacentral:rRNA from 1 species
CGCCUCGAGAUGAGACCUCCCACCUCCCCUGAGAGGGUAAGACUCCUGGUAGACUACCAGGUUGAUAGGCCACAGGUGUAAGCACGGCGACGUGUUCAGCCGAGUGGUACUAAUAAGUCGAGGGCUUGAUGGUU